AUGCGUGACCAACCUGCCCCAUGCUCCAGAAUAGCUCUUGGAAACGGGUGGUAAUGCUGGAUGCUCCAACUUGACGCAUGUCUUGUUGGGAAAGUGUUUAGUGGCAUGGGAUGGGGUCGCGUCCUAUCAGCUUGUAGGCGGGGUAAUGGCCCACCUAGGCUUCGACGGGUAGCCGGCCUGAGAGGGCGGACGGCCACAUUGGGACUGAGAUACGGCCCAGACUCCUACGGGAGGCAGCAGGC
rnacentral:rRNA from 1 species